UGCUCGGGGACAGCAGCCUUUCUCUGAGGAGGGGACAGUACCGGGGGCUGCUCCCCUCGCUGUGCCGGCGGAGCAGGCACUGGUCCCUGGGACGGCCAGGAUCGUGUGCAUGGGCUGGGGGGAACUCUUCUUGUGAGGGGAGGGGCCGGGGGCUUUGAGUGGGAGAGGGGCGGCUGGGGGCGAUCGUGCCGGGCAGCAAAUCCCCUCUGAACCCACCUGCUGCCUAUGCAGAGAAAUCUUGUUCUUGCUUCCCAAGGGACCGGGAUUAGAGCAGGGUCAUCGCAGCUCUCGCUCCCGCCGGGCCCACCAUGCUCUUUCUUCCAGUUGCCGCUGCAUUCUUUGCAGGACUCGCCAUUGGCGUUGCAAUUGCAGCACUGGCAAUGGGACGGCCCAUACGGAUCUUUAUGACUUCCACGAGUCUGCAUAUGCGUGUUGGAGGAGAACACGAGGAUGAUCCUCUGAGCUCAUGCAAAGAGAUCCAGAAGAAGUACUGUUGAUUACCACAGCCAGUGAACAGAAGCAGAUUUCGGGCUUCCUCUCUUUCUCUCUCCCCACACUCCUUUUCCAUUUUCCUUCCUCCUUCUCUGUCUUUUCUACACUUUUUAGUAGCGUAAUUUCUUCUUUUUUUAAAAUUUCUUUUGCAUUUUCAAUAAACAGUUUUCAGAUACAA